GAUGAACGCUGGCGGCGUGCCUAAUACAUGCAAGUCGAGCGAACAGACGAGGAGCUUGCUCCUCUGACGUUAGCGGCGGACGGGUGAGUAACACGUGGAUAACCUACCUAUAAGACUGGGAUAACUUCGGGAAACCGGAGCUAAUACCGGAUAAUAUAUUGAACCGCAUGGUUCAAUAGUGAAAGACGGUUUUGCUGUCACUUAUAGCUGGAUCCGCGCCGCAUUAGCUAGUUGGUAAGGUAACGGCUUACCAAGGCAACGAUGCGUAGCCGACCUGAGAGGGUGAUCGGCCACACUGGAACUGAGACACGGUCCAGACUCCUACGGGAGGCAGCAGUAGGGAAUCUUCCGCAAUGGGCGAAAGCGUGACGGAGCAACGCCGCGUGAGUGAUGAAGGUCUUCGGAUCGUAAAACUCUGUUAUUAGGGAAGAACAAAUGUGUAAGUAACUAUGCACGUCUUGACGGUACCUAAUCAGAAAGCCACGGCUAACUACGUG
rnacentral:rRNA from 1 species